CGAUCUUUUUGUCUUAUGGAAGGCAGGUACCCCUGCAGGCCCCAGUUUGGGAGUGGACUGCAGAGAGCUGAGCUUCUGUGACUGGAUAAUAUUCUCUUGAUAGCCUGUAGCCCUAAUGCCAAGCAGUAGACGGGUGCAAAAUAAAGAACAUACCGAGAAAUAUACCAGAGUCCCACACUCCACAAAUAGCUCUUUGCUCAUCAUUUGCCCUGUGACUGGGCUCCCUGAAUGUCUAAGCAAGUGCCAGGGGGCUAAUCAUUUUCAUAGUGUGGACCAGAUCUUAACAGACAGCUCCUGUCAGCACCUCCCCUGCCAUUCCUGACCGCGUGGGCCACCCCACCUCUUCUUCACAAGUGCAUGGAUUCUCU